rnacentral:tRNA from 1 species
AUUCAAAUAGCUUAUAAAGAGUGUGGCAUUGAAGAUGCUAAGGAAAUAUGAAUUAUUUUUGGGUA